rnacentral:rRNA from 1 species
GGUGAACCAACCUGGAGCUGUGAGGUCUGGAUCAGGGUUCCAUGUCAACAGUGAUUGAACAUGGGUGAGUCGAUCCUAAGCCAACUGUGAAAGCAGUGACAUCCCGACAAAGGGGCAGUUCGUCUGGCGGCCACACGCGUUUGUGUGCACAUUCGCAAGUCUCCUCUCUCUAUGGUCGCGCGCGCAUGCAAACACCCGGUGCGCGCGUGUGUGUGUCUCUUGUUACGCUCAAAAAGCGUUAUAUGAUUGGAGAGAGAGAAAACGAGGCAGUGCCGCGCGUGUGUGUGUGUGCGUUCGUUCUUAAAGCUCCCUGCGUCUGGUUCUAUGUCUGGCGAAAGGGAAUGGGGACUUUGUUCCUUGACCGGUCCCGGCACCCUCGAUAGGCUUUGCCAAUCAAUGGUCCAUGCAAAUGGAACCAGGCCACAGCCGCCGGCAGUCGCCCGAGGAAGAGUUUUCUUUUCUGCUUAACGCACGAGAUCAUCCCUGGAAACAGUUCGGCUGGCGAAAGGGUGCCCCGUUGCGGCAGAGCGCCACGACUGUCGUGCGCGUCUCGGUGUUCCUGCCGGUCCGUGAAGACGUGGUCGAGGGGAUUGCUAUUGUAUCAACGAAACGCCCGACAAGUUCGGGACGGACCGUACCCUAUAUCCGCAUCUGGUCUCCAAGGUUCGUAGCCUCUGCAGAGUCAGACACAUGUAGGUAAGGGAAGUCGGCAAACUCGAUCCGUAACUUCGGGAAAAGGAUUGUCUCUGAGGGCCGAGCUGGGCCGGGCCUUGCCUGCAAAGCAGUACCUAUAGUGACCGGAGUUUCAGGAGUGCGAGGGGCUCUAGUAGCUUCCUGCGCGUUCACGCGUGUGGGCACGAACGAGUCUACCGCUCCGCUCCAACCACGAAAGGCUGUGACGGCAAGGGCUCUGGGCGGGAGCGUUCAAACCGUUUGUCCCCAGCUCGUCUGGG